UCCUCCUAUUUUAGAAAUCAUCAAUAUUUUAUCAUUGCAAUUGUGUAAUAUCAUAAUUAGUAAGUUUGCCUAUAUGCAAAUUCAUGAUACAUUAUUUUAUAUUGGUUAGGAGUAUAAGUCAAUGACUAAAUAGAUGAGAAGAGAACGAGUUCGGAUCUUUUGUGGUGCGUGUUUUGCACCAUGAAAUAGUUGCUUUUAUUCUUACAUGAAAUCAAUCAUCAAAAAGAUGCAAAAUCUGAUAGUGGAUCUGUGAUCUCGAAUGUCACCAUCUUGGCUUGCAUC
rnacentral:lncRNA from 1 species